AGAGUUUGAUCCUGGCUCAGGAUGAACGCUGGCGGCGUGCCUAAUACAUGCAAGUCGAGCGAACGGACGAGAAGCUUGCUUCUCUGAUGUUAGCGGCGGACGGGUGAGUAACACGUGGAUAACCUACCUAUAAGACUGGGAUAACUUCGGGAAACCGGAGCUAAUACCGGAUAAUAUUUUGAUCUGCAUGGUUCAAAAGUAAAAGACGGUCUUGCUGUCACUUAUAGAUGGAUCCGCGCUGCAUUAGCUAGUUGGUAAGGUAACGGCUUACCAAGGCAACGAUGCAUAGCCGACCUGAGAGGGUGAUCGGCCACACUGGAACUGAGACACGGUCCAGACUCCUACGGGAGGCAGCAGUAGGGAAUCUUCCGCAAUGGGCGAAAGCCUGACGGAGCAACGCCGCGUGAGUGAUGAAGGUCUUCGGAUCGUAAAACUCUGUUAUUAGGGAAGAACAUAUGUGUAAGUAACUGUGCACAUCUUGACGGUACCUAAUCAGAAAGCCACGGCUAACUACGUGCCAGCAGCCGCGGUAAUACGUAGGUGGCAAGCGUUAUCCGGAAUUAUUGGGCGUAAAGCGCGCGUAGGCGGUUUUUUAAGUCUGAUGUGAAAGCCCACGGCUCAACCGUGGAGGGUCAUUGGAAACUGGAAAACUUGAGUGCAGAAGAGGAAAGUGGAAUUCCAUGUGUAGCGGUGAAAUGCGCAGAGAUAUGGAGGAACACCAGUGGCGAAGGCGACUUUCUGGUCUGUAACUGACGCUGAUGUGCGAAAGCGUGGGGAUCAAACAGGAUUAGAUACCCUGGUAGUCCACGCCGUAAACGAUGAGUGCUAAGUGUUAGGGGGUUUCCGCCCCUUAGUGCUGCAGCUAACGCAUUAAGCACUCCGCCUGGGGAGUACGACCGCAAGGUUGAAACUCAAAGGAAUUGACGGGGACCCGCACAAGCGGUGGAGCAUGUGGUUUAAUUCGAAGCAACGCGAAGAACCUUACCAAAUCUUGACAUCCUUUGACAACUCUAGAGAUAGAGCNUUCCCCUUCGGGGGACAAAGUGACAGGUGGUGCAUGGUUGUCGUCAGCUCGUGUCGUGAGAUGUUGGGUUAAGUCCCGCAACGAGCGCAACCCUUAAGCUUAGUUGCCAUCAUUAAGUUGGGCACUCUAAGUUGACUGCCGGUGACAAACCGGAGGAAGGUGGGGAUGACGUCAAAUCAUCAUGCCCCUUAUGAUUUGGGCUACACACGUGCUACAAUGGACAAUACAAAGGGCAGCGAAACCGCGAGGUCAAGCAAAUCCCAUAAAGUUGUUCUCAGUUCGGAUUGUAGUCUGCAACUCGACUACAUGAAGCUGGAAUCGCUAGUAAUCGUAGAUCAGCAUGCUACGGUGAAUACGUUCCCGGGUCUUGUACACACCGCCCGUCACACCACGAGAGUUUGUAACACCCGAAGCCGGUGGAGUAACCUUUUAGGAGCUAGCCGUCGAAGGUGGGACAAAUGAUUGGGGUGAAGUCGUAACAAGGUAGCCGUAUCGGAAGGUGCGGCUGGAUCACCU
rnacentral:rRNA from 1 species